rnacentral:rRNA from 1 species
GAUGAACGCUGGCGGCGCGCCUAACACAUGCAAGUCGAACGAUUAAAGCACCUUCGGGUGUGUAUAAAGUGGCGAACGGCUGAGUAACACGUGGGCAACCUGCCCCUUUCAUUGGGAUAGCCACGGGAAACCGUGGAUAAUACCGAAUACUUCGAGACUUCCGCAUGGAAGACUCGAGAAAGCUCCGGCGGAGAGGGAUGGGCCCGCGGCCUGUUAGCUUGUUGGUGGGGUAACGGCCUACCAAGGCAAUGAUGGGUAGCUGGGUUGAGAGACCGACCAGCCAGCUUGGGACUGAGACACGGCCCAGACUCCUACGGGAGGCAGCAGUGGGGAAUCUUGCACAGUGGGCGAAAGCCUGAUGCAGCGACGCCGCGUGCGGGAUGAAGGCCUUCGGGUUGUAAACCGCUUUCAGCAGGGACGAGGCGAAAGUGACGGUACCUGCAGAAGAAGCCCCGGCUAACUACGUG